CCUCCAUGCACUAGCUAGCCCUUCUCUGUCUGUUAGUGAUCAUGAAGAAUCCAAUGCGACUAUUCUCCGUCGUUUUCCUUCUCUUGCUGCUUGUGGCCACGGAGAUGGGGCCAAUAAUGGUUGCUGAGGCCAGGACAUGCGAGUCUCAGAGCCAUCGAUUUAAGGGCAUAUGCAUUCGGCACAGCAACUGCGCUACUAUUUGCCAAACUGAAGGCUUCCAUGGAGGACACUGCCGAGGG
rnacentral:misc_RNA from 1 species